GACGAACGCUGGCGGCGUGCUUAACACAUGCAAGUCGAGCGGAAAGGCCCUGCUUUUGUGGGGUGCUCGAGUGGCGAACGGGUGAGUAACACGUGAGUAACCUGCCCUUGACUUUGGGAUAACUUCAGGAAACUGGGGCUAAUACCGGAUAGGAGCUCCUGCUGCAUGGUGGGGGUUGGAAAGUUUCGGCGGUUGGGGAUGGACUCGCGGCUUAUCAGCUUGUUGGUGGGGUAGUGGCUUACCAAGGCUUUGACGGGUAGCCGGCCUGAGAGGGUGACCGGCCACAUUGGGACUGAGAUACGGCCCAGACUCCUACGGGAGGCAGCAGUGGGGAAUAUUGCACAAUGGGCGGAAGCCUGAUGCAGCAACGCCGCGUGCGGGAUGACGGCCUUCGGGUUGUAAACCGCUUUCGCCUGUGACGAAGCGUGAGUGACGGUAAUGGGUAAAGAAGCACCGGCUAACUACGU
rnacentral:rRNA from 1 species